AACAGGACAUAACUCUACCAAAAAUUACCAAGUUGUAAGCCUGAAAAAGAUACUGUGGGUGAAGUAGCAAGGACGUGACUACUGGAUGUGCCAGACUGGAAGCUUUUAGGCAUCAGAAGCAGAUGAUAACUUGAGACACAUAAGAGAUGAAGACAGAAGGUUCAGAAAGUUCUAUGGAAGAACCAAAAGAUUUGGCUUAGUUCCUACCUUAUAAGGUGCACAAGAGGGUUGAAGUUUUCCCACCGAUUUAGACAGAGUGAACUCUGAUGCAGCAGGACAGCUGGUGGAAGGGGUCAGCCAUUCCACCCCUGUCCAGGGGCCUAUUUGUUUCCUGUAAAAAAUACACUCACAUUUGGUGAACAGAGCUCUGAAACAGAAGGAACAGAACCUGGAAUCCUUCUGGUGACACCUGGAGCUACAAGAACACCUGUGAUGUAGGUAAGUACAUCUACCAUAAAUAGUUGUCGCUCUGUUACUCACUUACUCUUUAAGGAUAUUUUAAGGGUGACUGCUGGUUGGAAUGUAUGUGAUUUCUUGGUAAGACCUUUCGAUAAGAGUUGUUGUAUGAAAGACAUUGUCAUACAUAGAUGAAGGCACCUGGCUGUCACCAUGGCUAAGCCCAUGGUUCAGCACUGUUUGUAGAUCACCAUCUUACUG
rnacentral:lncRNA from 1 species